CCGCAGCACCGCUCUGACAGGGACAGGGGUGGCCGCCUCCCGCCCGAGCCGCUUCUCCUCCCACCGGUGCCGGGGGCGUUGAGGAGCCCGGCUCCCCGCUGGCAGAGGCCUUGAGGCCUGCCCCCUGAGGUGCACACCCUGCCUUUGUUCAGCGGGCGGGAGGGGAUGUACCCCCUUGCACCGAUGGCGGCCGAGGGACCGCAACGCUAGGUCGCAGCUGGAGAAUGAAUCUGUCAGUGCAGCGUCUCCCGGGACUCCCCCGGCCAUCUGCGGGUCAAUGAGAGACAACCGGUAGCAUCUGGCAGCCAUAGUCGCAGGAGGAAAGAGAAAGAGAUGAUAAUGUUCCCAUACAGCAACGUGGAUCUGGCAGGAAGGCUAAUUAAUGCGAUGUGGAAAAAGAAUACACCAAAGUGGCAUAACCUCCACACUGGGAGCUUCACAUCUUCGUCUUGGACUCUGCAUUUUGCUCAGCAGCAUCCUCAGCAUUUGCUCUGCCCGUGGCAUCACCUGUGACAAACUGCUAGAGGCUGCCUGGGAUGUACAGUCGUUAGUAAGACAUUGUGAAGGUAAAAGCUUUGUGAAAGCAUAACUCAGAGCAUAAACUGGUCUGAAGAAUCUUAAUUGUUGUGGAAGAAGCAGAAAGAACCCCAAGUAGAGUUGAGGGUGAGGUUGUGAGUUAGAAAAAACGCUGUAUCUUCUUUUCUUUUAAACUGAAAGAAAUCUGGUGUUUGCAUCUGCACGAGAAGAACUGGAAGCCCAAAGUAACUCAGUGCUGAAUAACCUUCAAAUAACUAUCUUGAGCUGUAAUGGGAUGAUAAUAACGCACUCUGGUCUCACAGGGCAGAGUUAGUGAUUCAGUCGCUGUGUGUUGCAGGUGCCUCGCUGCUCCACCCAGGUAUAAAAGAGGAUGGUGUGGCUCUUCUAGGAGAGGUGAUCCUUCUGAAUUAAAAAGUUUGAAUUCAGAACACCUAAAAGCAGUAGUCAAACUGCAAGAGUUUUCUGUGCAUCUCUUUUAAUGACAGGAAAGCUUUAGGAAGGGGGCAACUUGACCUGCACAGACUUUUUUUUUUCUCUUUAAGUCAGUGGAAAUGAUGGUACCAGAGCAGGGGUAAGAGCUAGUGUGUUGUAUGAUCAUACCCACACACACCCACACUCAACUUCACACAGCUUUUGAAGUCACAAGGAUGUUACGUUUGAUGGGUUCCUGCUGGGGAUGAGGGUGUAGAGGGAUGGCUUCAGGCUGCCAAGUCAUACAACUCUACUUGGUUGGCUUCAUGUCAAGGAACAGGAAUGAGUGAGUGAACUCACUGGGCCACUACAUUGUAUAGAGCAGCCAAACUAGCUCCUUGGUUUGCUCCACUGAAAAUAAUUAAGAGGAACAACUUUUAUAGUUUCAUAAAAACAAUCUGACUUGCUGACACAAGAACAUACAAUUUGUCUCUUACUUCCCAAACUAAUCAUCUUUCCUAAACAAGAUGCUAUAUUUGUUGCCUGCCAUUUUGUCUGGUCGUUAGUAAAUGGUUAGUUUACACAGAUGGAUGGGUUUACUGUCCUGGCUAGAAAAUUAAGUAAUAGUGACAGCAAUGUUGUUAUACUUCUGUGGUAAUGGACGAGUAUUGCAAGUAACCCCACACAGACAAGACUGAGAAGAAGGAACAACUUGGCAUAAAAAACUUGGCCCUCCAUCUGGGUGUGUCAUUUCCUUUGGAUUGGAAGUUUUCCCCAUCUUAUAUUUUGAGAGAUAAAAUAUUCAUCUGACUUUCUUCAGAACAUGUAUUAGUUUCUUCUGGCAACUGUGGGAACACAUCCCCUAUUUAAUUGAGUUACUGGAUUUGUUUGGAGAUUCAAAAAUGAGCACAAACUCAUUAAAGGAAUAGGGGCAAGUCCUUGAACUCUGUCUCCAAUAGUGAGAAUUUAUUUUAGGUAGUGUAAGAAAGUAACCUACAGUCUGGAAUCAUAUCCCAACUAUUUCAGACUGCUGGAGAAUUCAGAAAAAAACCCUUGUGUAAUAGCCUUUUGUGCUGUGUUUUCAUUAAGUCUGAGGCAGCUCAAUAAAGAAGCUACAGCAUGAUUUAUUUAAAUCAGUGAUUACAGAGAAGUCAUUAAAAGAAAAACUUGGCAAAAUCUUGCCUACAUACUUCUUGCAUUCCAAAUCCAUAAAAUGUUUAGAUACAAUCUCAUUUCAUUAUAACCAAAACAAAUCUCCUUUACUAGAUUUCUUUCAUUUUUUUCUUUAAAUGAUGAUGUUUCCAUACCUCUUCUGUCUCCCCUGACUUUCCAGUUCAGCUUCCUUUGUGUGUCUUUUCUUUAUAAAGUCACUAAGAGUAGGCAGGUUGCUCUCAGGAAUCCUAUCAUCCCAUAAGGCUUGGUAAGAGCAUUUGGCAGACUAUGGACUAGAGAUGAAGUAGGGAAAAUAAUUUAGCUCUUUCUGUCAUCUGAAGAUGACUUUUGGAAAUGCUUGCAUGGGAUUAUUCUCCCAGUUCAAAUCUACAAGAAUCUGCAUUUUAUCCUACGUGUUGUACGUACGCUGGAAGUUUUACCAACUUUUCAGCCUGUUAGUUUCAUUUGACAUUUCUUAUUGUUGAGCUAAAAUGUGUAUAUUCAGACAGACACCCAAUCCUUUUUUAAAAUAACUUCUCUUUUUUAAAAAAGGGGUGCCAUGGGGCUAUCAAAUGAUUUAGAUACGGGCAUAGCCACAACGAAAGUGUCCUGUUCUGUUCCUGUAACUUACGGUCUCGAGGCACUGGGAUAAAACAAAUGCCUAUCAAAUUCCAAAGGACAAAUGUUCUCAUCUACAGCAACUGCUGUUUCACAACUGAUGUGGCAUUAACUGUACCUGCUCUUAGCACUGACCAAGGACAAACAAGAUGAUUUAUCUUCAGUUCUUGAAUUAAUUUUUAUUUAUGUAUUUUUGAAGGUGAGCAAGUGGAGGGGAGCAUAUAAAUAAAGAUCACACUGAUUGCCAUAAUUAGUCAAUCAGUAAACCUGUGUCCAGUAAAAACUCUUUUUGAUGGGACAAAAAGGUAAUGAUCUAAGAGUGCUGUAUCAUGGUAUUGACUGGAAAAAAUCAAGCAGUCUUCAGUUCUUUAAGGAGUUCCAGCUUUAAGAGCCCAAAACCCUCUGCUCUUGGUGCAGAGAACAGGGGGUGUAGUAGCAUCACACCACUGAGGUUCCC